rnacentral:rRNA from 1 species
AGAGUUUGAUCCUGGCUCAGAACGAACGCUGGCGGCAGGCCUAACACAUGCAAGUCGAACGUGAAGCUGGAGCUUGCUCCGGUGGAAAGUGGCAGACGGGUGAGUAACGCGUGGGAACCUACCCAGUAGUACGGAAUAACCAUUGGAAACGAUGGCUAAUACCGUAUACGCCCCUCGGGGGAAAGAUUUAUCGCUAUUGGAUGGGCCCGCGUUGGAUUAGCUUGUUGGUGAGGUAAAAGCUCACCAAGGCGACGAUCCAUAGCUGGUCUGAGAGGAUGAUCAGCCACACUGGGACUUAGACACGGCCCAGACUCCUACGGGAGGCAGCAGUGGGGAAUAUUGGACAAUGGGGGCAACCCUGAUCCAGCAAUGCCGCGUGUGUGAAGAAGGCCUGCGGGUUGUAAAGCACUUUCAGUGGGGAGGAGAGUGUCUCGAUUAAGAGUCGAGACAUAAGACGUUACCCACAAAAGCAGCACCGGCUAACUCUGUGCCAGCAGCCGCGGUAAUACGUAGGGUGCAAGCGUUAAUCGGAAUUACUGGGCGUAAAGCGUGCGCAGGCGGUUGUGCAAGACAGAUGUGAAAUCCCCGGGCUUAACCUGGGAACUGCAUUUGUGACUGUGCGACUGGAGUGCGGCAGAGGGGGAUAGAAUUCCGCGUGUAGCAGUGAAAUGCGUAGAUAUGCGGAGGAAUACCGAUGGCGAAGGCAGCCCCCUGGGCUAACACUGACGCUCAUGCACGAAAGCGUGGGGAGCAAACAGGAUUAGAUACCCUGGUAGUCCACGCCCUAAACGAUGUCAACUAGGUGUUGGGGAAGGAGACUUCUUUAGUACCGCAGCUAACGCGAUAAGUUGACCGCCUGGGGAGUACGGUCGCAAGAUUAAAACUCAAAGGAAUUGACGG